CCCGGCCCCGCAUAACAAGUCAGAACCGCCAGCUUAAGAAACACGGUGGGGGGGGCGGGAAGCGGGCCUUCGAAGAACUACAGAAACCCAGCUGAUGUCACAAACCAAAGCUCACACAGCCUCCGCCGCCACUGCACGGGAACAGACAACACACGCGCUACAGUAAUCCGGAAAGCGGCAUCUUCUUUUUUCAACCAGUGGUUUAGUCCCCGUGAGGGGAGGUGCACCGUUCCCGGAGAUACUGCAAUACCAGGUCGAUGCGUGGAGCGGACGGAGCAAGCUCCUAUUCCGACUCCUAGCUCCAAAAAUCCAUUUAAUAUAUUGUCCUCGGAUAGAGGACGUAUCAGAUAUUAAACUGAUAAGAACAGAUACUACACUUGAUCUUAGCCAAAAGGCCGAGAAGCGAUACCACCUCUCCGCCUCUGGCCGUUGCCCUCUUCCCUUCAUCCCUAUUCAAGCCACGGUGAGCGCCCUCAUCCUCACGCCUCGUCUGCCUCCUUUUGCCUCGUCCACAGUGCUAGCACUAGACUCCUGUGCAGACUUUCUGUUCUCUACCUUUGUGAGGAGAAAGUCUGUGUACUUGAUUGUCCCGUCCUUCCCGCGCCGAACAGCCGUUUCUAAUCUGCAUGCUCCGCCUUCUGUCGCCCGGGGACGCGCGGCUGCCGCGGGCGGACUCCACCCUCCGGACCGGCUCCUCGCACCCGGAGCCCAGGCCAGACCCGGAGCCCGCCUCCUGGCCUCCUGGCCGGUGCACGUCCCGCCGCAGACCAGAGACAGGGGCGGCAGCCGGAGAAUGCGAGGGGAGCGCUGACACGGUAGCAGCUGUCACGGUUCGAGCCCCAGCAAUCAAGAACUUGCCUUUUGUCCACCGCUCUUCCCCCCCCCACACGCACGGCACAUUCAACAACCGUUCAAUGAGUAAGAGUGCCUCCUCCACGCUUAGCCAGUGCCCGACACACGCCAUGAUUAAAGGCGGCUCUUCAGCCGCCACCGCCACCACCACCACACCACCACCACCACACCCCCUCGCCCCUCCUUGCUCGGGGCCGGUCUGCUCGCGUCGGUGUUCUCCCGCCCGGCUUCUGCCCGACGGUUCGGGUCCCCUGGGGGGACGGGUCGUCCUGAGAAGGGAUGCCCUGGGUGACAGUCGUUGGAAUGCAACAGUGCCCGUCGCAAAUCAGUAACUUAGCAUCUCCGUUUUCGCAGCGUGAUUCACUCCCGCGGAGUUUGCUCAAAUCGACGUGCACGGACUGAAGGGCCUGCGAAUCGCGCCCGGCCCCCGUGCACGGCGCUCUGCGGAGGCCGGUCGCGUGCCCUUGUGCCCUCACGGUGGUGCAGGGCCGUCGCGGUCCCAGCCAUCUUCACUGAAACGGAGCCUUGAAGCUCGGGAGAUCACGGACGGUGACCGGAAGAGCACGGCAGGCGUUCCCCGGCACCGCCUCUUGCCCCAGCCUCGCCAACAACCCCACGUGGCAUCAAACCUGCGAAUGCUUUUUUGGUGCGGGGUGGGGAAAGGGGGGAGGGGUCGAUCUCACAGGUGAAAAUGGUACCUCGGCGUAGUUUGGAUUUGCAGUUUUCUAAUCUUGGGUAAAUAAGGUUGAGCGUCCUCUCCUGUUGCAGAGACGCCUUUAUUUUCUCUCCGUGAACUAACUCCUUGUUGGGGGUCUUCGGCCCUUUUCCUCCUGGAUUCUCGGUUGGGCUUUAUCCUAAGGGCGUGGAUCUGCAAUUUACACAUUCAGGGGACUGGCGCUUUGUCUGUAAUGGAAGCGGUGAACAUUUUCUCCUGUUGGAGAUCUGGCUUUGGCUUUACUUAAGGCGAUGAUUCCAUUGCUUAAAGGUUUCAUGGAAAGUUCUUUUUAUAUCAUCAUAUUUAUCAAUUUUAAAAAUAUUCAGAUUUUGAGUCGAAAGGAUUUAUAAAAUAAUUUCCUAAAUCUUCCUCUAGGUCUUCUUGUUCUUGUUCUUCUUCUUUUUAAAUAUCCAUCUAUCUAUCUAUCUAUUUAUUUAUUUAUUGUUGGCUGUGUUCGGUCUUCGUUGCUGCGUGCGGGCUUUCUCUAGUUGCGGCGAGCGGGGGCUACUCUUCGUUGCCGCGCGCGGACUUCUCAUUGCGGUGGCUUCUCUUGUUGUGUAGGCGCGCGGGCUUCAGUAGUUGUGGCACUCGGGCCUAGUUGCUCCGCGGCAUGUGGGAUCUUCCCGGACCAGGGCUCGAACCCGUGUCCCCUGCAUCGGCAGGCGGAUUCUUAACCACGGCGCCACCAGGGAAGUCCCUCAAUCCAUAUUUCUUGAAUGAAUAAACCCCAAUGCAUACUGUUCAUUGGAAUCUGAUCUCGUGCUGCGGGGGGGAUGCCUUGGUAGGAGAGGUGUAUGUCGAAUGCUUCUCCUAGCGCCCUCUUUGCCUUUCCACCCUCUACCCCUAGGUAAUCCCGAGACUGGAAAGUUCAAGUAAAAUGAUCAUCCACUGGAUUAAUCAUGUUUUAAGUUUUUCUAUAAUUUACGAUGCUUUGACGUCUUGAGGGCCUGCUGGCCUGGAAGAGACUGCCCCUCGCAGGACUAAUUAAUUCCUAGAAGUGCAACCUACUUGCUUUGGGAGCCUGCUGUUCACGUGCAAAGCAAUCUUCCAACACCCGUAUCUGCAACUGCCUCCUCUAGUUACUCUCACACUCCAGCUAGUAUUUCCCCUGCCCCCUCUGACCCCAGGGCCCGGUACCUCACAACUAGAGAACAGCCCUGUAGCCCAAAGCUCACCGAAUGCUAUUCUAAUGGUCCAAUCCGAACCUUGCUCAAACUGGCCUACCUUGAUGCCUCUGCCCAUUCUCCCCACCCUCCCGUCCCCUCCCCAGGACGAUAAAGGCCAUAUACUCUCCUCUCCUGCCUCCCAACCGAGCAGGCCAGGCCGAGUCCCUAUGUGGCUCGCUGCAGGGUGUGGCGUGCCCUCUUCUCUUGGGAACUGUAAGUAAUAAAACUCCUUCAGUGGCACUGACCCCUCCUUGUCAGUCAGCUGUAUACAGUACAACCAACACACACACCUAAGUGAAAAGCCCAUCACUUUUUUUUUUUUUUUAAUAUAAAUUUAUUUAUUUUUGGCUGCGUUGGAUCGUCGUUGCUGCUCGGGGGCCUUGCUCUCGUUGCGGCGAGCGGGGGUUACUGUUCGUUGCGGUGCGCGGGCUUCUCAUUGCGGUGGCUUGUCUUGUUGCGGGCUCUAGGCGUGCGGGCUGCAGUAGCUGCAGCACGCAGGCUCAGUAGUUGUGGCACACGGGCUUAGUUGCUCCGCGGCCUGUGGGAUCUUCCUGGACCAGGGCUCGAACCCGUGUCCCCUGCACUGGCAGGCGGAUUGUUAACCACUGGGCCACCAGAGAAGCCCGGAAAGCCCAUCAUUUAAACCUCCAUUCCGGGUGGAUCCUCGUGGCUCUCAGCGGGAGCUGCCCUCGCGCUCGGUCCUUUUCUGCCUGUGGAUUUUUUUUUUUUUUUUUUCUCCCCGCGGUACGCGGGCCUCUCACUGUGGUGGCCCAGGAGCUCCGGAUGCGCAGGCUCAGCGGCCAUGGCUCACGGGCCCAGCCGCUCCACGGCAUGUGGGAUCUUCCCGGACCGGGGCACGAACCCGUGUCCCCCGCAUCGGCAGGGGGACUCUCAACCACUGCGCCACCAGGGAAGCCCUGCCUGUGGAUAUCGACAUCAGGAAACACUAGGACAGCAGUAAUGCUGGAGGCACCAAAAGAAGUCGGGGGAAGUAGAGACGGAAGAACAGAAGACUCAAGCUACUGUUUUCUUUCUGCUUUGAGGGUGACGUGGAAACGGUCUGGGAGCCUCAAGACGAAGCUUGGAUACCCUCUCCGCUCCUUUCCUAGUUUCCACAGACGGAGGAAUGUGGGAGAGAGGCCCCCUGAGAAGACUGUGGGGCAGAAACUAUGUCCUCCAGAGGACGCCAAGUUUGAGCAAAAGCACAAAGCUGCACUUCGAGAGAAGGCAGAAAAGAGAAGAAAUUCUUAGCGCAAGAACACGGUUUAAAAUUGGGGGAAAAUGAGAGAAAAAUGGAGAAAGGGACGUUCAGUUACCUAACAGAAGGAGAGAGACGGCAAGGUGAAUGCGAAAACAGCCAAAGCACACAGGGCAGUCACCUUGUGGUCGUGGGUCCUUCCGCCAACCAGUACGAAGGCCCUCCCAACGCUGAAGAAUGGGAAACUGCGAGAGAGCUCUCUCAGUCACAGCGGUUUUUUCCUCUACCCAACUGAACUUGCUCCUUUUUCUGCACAUACAACCUAUCUAUACAAACAAAUCUACAAGAAAAACAGACGCAGAAGAUUUUAAAAACACUAUCGAGAGGCGAAAAAGCUCUGGUCCAGUCCGACGGAAAAAGCUUCGCUAAAGGAGCGCACAGCGACACACGACACACGGCUCUUACUUUUUAAACCUCAAUUAUCUCCCCGGGAGGGGUGCACCAGUCCUGGAAAUACUGCAAUACCAGGUCGAUGCGUGGAGCGGGCGGAGCAAGCUCCCACCCCGACUCCGGGAUCCAAAAAUCCGUUUAAUAUGAUGUUCUCGGGUAGAGAACGUAUCAGAUAUUAAACUGAUAAGAACAGAUACUACACUUGAUCUUAGCCAAAAGGCCGAGAAGCGAUACCCAACAGCCUGCCAUCCCUGUCACCGUCCUCCUCGCAUCCAUAUUGGACUCAGUGUGACCCCUGUCACUGCUCACUCGAGGUCUCACUUCCUUUGCUUCGGUGACAGUACUGUGGGUGGCACCACACCACACUCUCGUGCAGAGUUUUUAUUCUCUACAUUGUAGAAGAGGAAUUCUGGAUCUGUUGUAGCUUCGUCGUUCUCGGGCUGGAGCGCCAUUUUAUAUUUGCAUGCCCCGCCCCCGCCCGCCCAAGGGGGCGUGGCUCCGGCGGGCUGACCUGCGGGGGAGCUCCUCUUUGGCAUCAAUGCGAGCGGAGACAAAAGACCGAACCGUAGGGGAUUCGGGGUGGGCGGCUAGAGGGGCCUGUGGGAGGAGCCGUUGGCUGAGAGUUUUCCUGAAGACGAGGUCGCAAGACACUUUCGCUGGAAACGUCCAGACUGCAAUGUGUUAAAUAGGCCUCCGCUUCGUAGGGUCGGAUGGGGCGCUCAUUCUGAGUCCGGGGAGCGGAAGGUCUAGAGUGGGGGCUUCCCAGGGCCGGUGGGGUAAUCUCCCUGCCAGGCGGAAGGCGGAUGGCCCACAGUGGGGAAGGGAGGAGGUGUGUGGACGCAGAGGGCCGGGCUGAGCAGCUGGAGGGAUUCUCCCCAACUCAAGCGCCUGCGUCGGUCGGUGCUUCUACGAAUGAACCCAGAUCCCGGGCUUCCUACAGAAAGCUUCCUCUGCCUGAGACCUCCUUUCCCUCCACCUCCUCCUCACCUGUCUAAUUCUUACGCAGAGCCUCUGGGCUCCGCUUCGGCUUCAGCUGCCCCAGCAAGCCUUCCUCAUGGGCUCUUCCGCACCGCACCGCACCGCACCCCACCCCACCCCAGGAUGAUUGCGGCCCUCCUUUGUGUUUCAUCCCACCCCAGACUUCGAGUCCACCAUUCACCACUCGUUGGGGGCGGUCCCGUAUCUCCGCCACUGAAAUCUGAGAUCCUUGAGGGCGGCGACCCUCAUCAGCAAGCACUUAACCUCUGUGUCCCAGCACUAGGCCAGGGCCCGGCCUGUAGGAGGUGCACAGUAAACGUUUGCUGAGUGAACAAAAGGUGUGCAAAACAGACUGAAUCGGAGAAGCGCUUAGGAGGGUCCUGGCCCGAUCCAGGGGUGAAGAGGGGAAGAUCUGGCCUGGGGUGGCAGGACACCAGAGAGGAGAGUGACUGCCAGGGACGCUCUGGGCAUCAAGGCCCGUAAAUAAAUUAAGGCCUCUGGCAAAGUGGGGAUGAAGUUUCGCAGCGGCAACGCUUCUCUGUGGCAAAGGCCGCAGGCUGCCCAGGCAGCGUAAACCUUUUCCAUCCCCCUUCCUAACAGAGCUUCACUUUAGUUGGGGAGUUUCUAUUUCUUUCACUGGAUCUCAGAAGAGCUCUUAGAAGGUAUCACUGAUGCAGGACUGAAACCCAAUGGGGUCGUUUCACCCUGCCGCAGGGAAAGCCUGAUGGCGGGUGCUGCCUGAGCCCUUCCCAGUGCCCGCCCCUCUGCCGAGCGCUCCGUGUGUAUUAACUCAUUUGAUUCUCCCCGUAACUCCGCGGGGUGGGUAUCAGUAUUAUUAUCCGGGGCCAGGACUAGGUGAGGCCAGUGAGAAACUAGUCUUCGGGGCGGGCGGGCGAAACAUUUAAGGGAGUGCCGCCCCGAAACGCUCUUCAGCAAUCAAGAUAAGGAAUAUUUUGAUACAGUGCAUCUUGCCUGGAUCCUAAGAUAAUCGAGAGAUUUAUUUUGAUUACUGGGUUUUUGGUGCUCCCUGAAAUUUUUUGGCCAAGGCAAGCGCCUCACUCGUUUCCCUCCACUCUCAUCCCCAUUCUGUUGACCUGCGCUGUCACAGCCACUAGCCACUCGCAGCUAGGGAGCGCUAGGAAGGUGGUUCCUCCUAACCCAUAUGUGCUGUUAAGUGUGAAAUACACACGGGAUCGCAAAGGCUUGGUAUUAAAAACUGUCAAAUAGCUCCGUAUUAAUUACGUGUUGAAGUGGUAUUUCAGAUAUCUGUUUUUGUUUUUUGUUCUAUUUUUGUGGCCGCGCCGCAGCUCCCGGUAACCCCGACCAGGAAUCAAACCCGGUCCCGCCACCCCCACCCCCACCCCCACCCCCACCCCCAUUCUUAUCCUCCCGCCCGGGCCCGCUGGCUGCCCUGACCGGGACAGUCUGGUCAGCUUCCAGGUCAGGAGGCCAACAUGAGCGUUGCAUCAAGGAGUUCCAGUCCAGAGGCCGAGAAACCUUUCGUGGGGCUCAGAUCUACUCACCGACGGUUUGUUAGUGCCUCCGUGUGUGAGCCAGGCACUGCUUACGGCACGUUCCUGGUCACCAUCUCAUUUUACCUUUACAGGACCCUGAGGAAGUGUCAUCACCCCCAAACCUCAGAGGGGAGAGAGGCAGCCUGACUCACCCCCGGGGCUUCCAAAGGUCUUCCAAGGGCAGAGGUCUUCCCCCGAGGCCCGGCAGCCAACUGUCAGGCACAGCCCUUGGCUCAUCCGGAUAUUCUUCUCUCUGGCAAUGACUUGCUGAGUGCCUCUGACAGGCCAGAGCUGUUAGGGGUUCGGAGUUACCAUAACAGAUGGCUGUUGUAGAUGUACAGGAGAACAUUGAAAGUACUCAUCGUCAGGGAAAACAUACAACGUUUAGGGUCACUUCCUAGUAAUCUGUUCUGGGCCCUUGCUGCUCAAAGCGCGAGUCUGUGAACAGCAACAUCCGCAUCGCCCUGGAGCCGGUGAGAAAUGCAGGACGCAGGCACCAAGUCACACCUCCGGUUUUAGUUUGAGAGGGCUGCCAGGGCUGCCAAAAUACAACGCCACAGGCCGGUGGCUUCAACAACGUAAAUGUAUUUUGUCACAGUUCCGGAGACUGGAAGUCCCCGAUCGGGGCGCCAGCCUGGCAGGGUUCUGGGGAUAGUCUUGGCUUGGCUUGCACGUGGUGGACUCCCCUCCCUCUCCUCACGUGUUAGAGAGAGGGAAAGGAUAAGCUCUCCCGUGCCUCCUCUCAUUGGGGAGCUAAUCCCAACAAGAGGACCCCAUCCCCCAUCACCUCUUCCAAACCUCACCGGCCCCAGAGGCCUCCCCUCCGGAUAGAGCUUACAGAUACGAACUUUGGGGGCACAACUCAGUCCGUGACCCCUACUGAACCAGAACCUGCAUUCCUGUAAGGUCCACAGGCGACCCCCGUGCACCUUAGAUUGAGAAGAUUGAGAAGCACUGAUUUCUUAAGUCACACACACUGGAAAACAAUGUGAGUUUUGGUGGUCAAAGUUGAUGUGUUACUUUGUACGUUUCCCGAGGAAGAUUAAACUAGCUUCCCGGGCCAAACUAACCGCUACGAGCCACAGAGGACUCACCGUAUGCCAGUCCCUUGGCUGAGUACUUCACACACUCCAUCUUACUUAAUUCUCCUGGUAACACUAUGAGGUAGGUAUUUAAACCCGGACGGAGACCACUCUUUAUUCUUCCUCGCGCGUGGUGAACUUUCGUUCAAACCGCACAAGACUCACACCAGAAGUAGGUCCCGCAACUUCCGCGCGGUGGGCUCUUUUUUCAAACCCGAACACGAACUCUCAUCUCCUCACGCUGCCCCGUAGAAAGUCGGGGACAAGGUUCCGCAGAAAGUACCCUUCUCUUCCCUCCCACUAGUCACGCUUCGCAAACACCCAUAACCUAGCCACUUAGGUCCGCAAGAUGAACAGCAGACACAAAAAGAACUUCCACAGAAGGGCAGUGUUACACCUUGCAAACGUAAAAAAAAAAAAACAAAACCUGCAACUGGGCGAUAAAAAAACAUAAACCACAGCUCUUACUUUUUAAACCUCAAUUAUUUCCCCGGGAAGAGUGCACCAGUCCUGGAAAUACUGCAAUACCAGGUCGAUGCGUGGAGCGGGCGGAGCAAGCUCCCACCCCGACUCCGGGAUCCAAAAAUCCGUUUAAUAUGAUGUUCUCGGGUAGAGAACGUAUCAGAUAUUAAACUGAUAAGAACAGAUACUACACUUGAUCUUAGCCAAAAGGCCGAGAAGCGAUACCCAGCGACCUGCCAUCGCUGUCUCCGUCCUCCUCGCAUCCAUAUUGGACUCAGUGUGACCCCUGUCACUGCUCACUCGAGGUCUCACUUCCUUUGCUUCGGUGACAGUACUGUGGGUGGCACCACACCACACUCUCGGGAAGAUUUUUUAUUCUCUACACCGUAGAAGAGGAAUUCGGUACCUGCGGUAGCUUCGCCGUCCUCGGGCUGGAGCGCCAUUUUAAAUUUGCAUGCCCCGCCCUCUCCGCGCGGGUAGGUGUAGCCGCGCGGGUUGAUCCGCCCAGUCCUCGGCACCGCCUCUGCGCGCAUGAGCGGAGGCUGGGCCGGGGCGGACCUCUUCGUUGGCACCAGCUCUCGCGUAGACAGAAUUCGGGGGAAUUGGGGGUGGGAGAAUAGAGGAGGGCGUCUGCGCAAUUGAUUCGCAGCAGACUGGUCCGAGUACGAAAAACGUCAUCUGGUCUUCACUGUGAAGACGACAGGGUCCCACGGGCUGGCUCUGUCCAGGCCGAAGACCCAGUCGAAGGCUGGGAGUCCAGGAGUGCCUGUCCGGUGUCGCCUGGCAGGGGCUGCGGUGAGAACUGGGGACCCGAGAUCGCUCCCUGCGAGCACUGCUGCCCUGGUUGUCAGGACCCCCGCCCUGCCGCGGCUGCAGGCCACUAGGGCAAACUCCUUCACCUCCAGAGCCUUAACUCCCCAGCUGAGAAGUGGAAACCUUAGUGCCUACCGUGUGGGGUUGAGGGGGUAUAAAGGGAGCUAGUGAGGCCACCUUGGUUUGGUAGUCUAGAAUGUGGGCCCUAGUGUCCAACGAGGUUCCAGUGAAGGCGUCAUGGCUGUGACACUGAAACAACUGAGCAGCUGUGUUGCCUGUAACAACACAAGAGGAAACAUUUAUUGCUUGGGCCGGGCUUUGCGCUAAGUGCUUUCCUUAUAUCAGACUUUCAAAGUUUACCUACAGACGGAGCGGUUGACACAGAGAGGGUGAGCAACUUUGCCCAAGACUACACAGCUACUUAGCGGAAGAGGUCGGAUCCAUCUAUGAAGAGCACGGGACCUAGAAAAGGGCACCAAAAGAAAGAGAAGUGGUUCUUGUGUGUCCCGCCCACUAUGAGAAAAAUCUUCUGAUAUCCUGUUUUUAAGAGUCUUGAUUCAACUGAUUCUCUGGUAUCACACCUAACUCUGUGCCUGUCACCGUGUGGGUCCUGGGAUCACACAGGUGAACGUGACCUCGUCCCUGUGGUCAGCAAGGGGCAUCUGCCGUGUUCUUCCAUUCCUCUCCUCUGGCUGCCACUCAACCACAUCCACUGCUCUUUGCUGCCAAGGAAGCCUUGCACGCUCAGAUAAGGUCUGCCCGUGCCGAGGCUGCCAACUCCAAGCGCUUCUAAGUGUUCCAUCCCUGGGCAUCAGAAGCCUGCUGGGUGCCCUGCCAGCUGGGGAGGACAGCCUCUUCAAGUCCAGGCCUCACUGUAUCUGUUUUUCCUGGCCCUGCAGCAGCGCUGCCUUCCCCUCAAGUUUUACCCUGACCCCUUGGACAGCUCCCUCAGGUUUCUUUUCAUCACUUGUCAGCUUGCCCUAGUUGAAGAGACAGGGAGGGAGGUACCAUUUUGUUUUCUCUGACCUCCUCUCCCUUCUCUCUGACCCCGCCCUCUCGCCCUCAAUUCUCCUUUCUCCCGCCUUCUCCCUUUUCCCAGUCACAGAACAAAAGCUUUCACUUUUAUGACUAGCAACAGAACUGGAUCGGUCUGUCUGACUUCGCAGUCGGAAAGGGAGAUGGUUUUUCCCAGCCACGUGAUCAGGGGGUGCGCGUGGACCAGCAGACCUUCUGCUCCUCACCCCCCUGCCCCCGCCCCGAAUGUGCUCGGGGUCCUGGCGCUACAACGUAAGAGUCUGUGUGCUGGAGAGCAAGUUUCCUGCCCGGCUAGACUGGAUCCAUCAAACUAGUUAGACUCAACCAAGAACUGGGCUUUUCGCAACUUGGCUGCCAUCACGGAGGCCAGCAAAUCCCCACAUUUUCUUUUUGGCCUUUCAACAGCCCCCAACAGAAGGCGUCACACUCCACAGUGAUGCCUGAUUUUGUCCAUUCCAAGAUGCCCAUCGUUUUCACAGCUUUACGUCUCAGGAGCCAGCAUGCGUCUUACAUUCGACGCCAGGAGAAAGCACUCUCGCCGUUUAACAUCGCAGCACGUCUUUCUUUGUUUCUUUCGUCCUGUCUUUCUUCAGGGCUAGGUAAAAGAACGGUACCUCUCACAAAAGAUGGCAUCUUAAAUUCGUGAACUACUAUAACAAUAAAAGCCUCUGUUUCUUGAA